AAAAACUUCAUUGGGGAGUAGCCGCUUUUUACCUUGGGUAAAAAGGUGAUGGUCAACAUAAUUGCUUAAACAAGCAUGGUCAUCAUAGCAAAGAACCAAAAGAUCCUCUGAUCAUAGAUUUCUUUUUGUUGGCAAGACCUUUGAU
rnacentral:sRNA from 2 species